CCUACGGGUGGCAGCAGUGGGGAAUAUUGGGCAAUGGGCGAAAGCCUGACCCAGCAACGCCGCGUGAAGGAAGAAGGCUUUCGGGUCGUAAACCUCUGUUAAGAGGGAAGAGCAGAAGAGGGUAUCACUUGAACAAGCCACGGCUAACUACGUGCAAGAAGCCGCGGUAAUACGUAGGGGGCAAGCGUGGUCCGGACUUAGUGGGUGGAAAGGGCGAGAAGUUGGGGUGACAAGUCAGAUGUGAAAUCCCUAGGGUCAACCGCGGAAAUGCAUUUGAAACUGUUUAUCUUGAGUACCGGAGAGGACAGUGGAAUUCCAUGUGUAGCGGUGAAAUGCGUAGAUAUAAGGAAGAACACCAGUGGCGAAGGCGGAUGACUGGACGGCAACUGACGCUGAGGCGCGAAAGCGUGGGGAGCAAACAGGAUUAGAUACCCCAGUAGUC
rnacentral:rRNA from 1 species